rnacentral:rRNA from 1 species
GGGGGUUACGACGGUCAGUGAUUAGAGUUUGAUCCUGGCUCAGGAUAAACGCUGGCGGCGCACAUAAGACAUGCAAGUCGAACGGAAGCCGUUAUAAAAAAGAUUGAAGAUUUAUCUGAUUGAAAUUUUAUAACAAUGACUUUAGUGGCGGACUGGUGAGUAAUACAUGAGCAACCUGCCUAUUAGAGGGGAACAACAGUUAGAAAUGACUGCUAAUACCGCAUAUGCCAUAUGAAUCACAUGGUUCAAGUGGGAAAGGAGCAAUCCGCUAAUAGAUGGGCUCAUGGCUGAUUAGCUAGUUGGUGGGGUAAUGGCCUACCAAGGCGACGAUCAGUAGCCGGACUGAGAGGUUAAACGGCCACAUUGGGACUGAGAUACGGCCCAGACUCCUACGGGAGGCAGCAGUCGGGAAUUUUGCGCAAUGGAGGAAACUCUGACGCAGUGACGCCGCGUGCAGGAAGAAGGUUUUCGGAUUGUAAACUGCUUUAGACAGGGAAGAAAAAGGACAGUACCUGUAGAAUAAGCUCCGGCUAACUACGUGCCAGCAGCCGCGGUAAUACGUAGGGAGCGAGCGUUAUCCGGAUUUAUUGGGUGUAAAGGGUGCGUAGACGGGAAGACAAGUUAGUUGUGAAAUCCCUCGGCUUAACUGAGGAACUGCAACUAAAACUGUUUUUCUUGAGUACUGGAGAGGAAAGUGGAAUUCCUAGUGUAGCGGUGAAAUGCGUAGAUAUUAGGAGGAACACCAGUGGCGAAAGCGACUUUCUGGACAGCAACUGACGUUGAGGCACGAAAGUGUGGGGAGCAAACAGGAUUAGAUACCCUGGUAGUCCACACUGUAAACGAUGGAUACUAGGUGUAGGUGUGAUAAACAUUCUGUGCCGUCGCAACGCAGUAGUAUCCCACCUGGGGAGUACGGCCGCAGGUGAACUCAAAGGAAUGACGGGGCCCGCACAAGCAGUGGAGUAUGUGGUUAUCGAGCACGCGAGAUCUACAAGGCUGACAUAUACAGAUAUUAGAGAUAGAUAGUCUCCGACUGAUACAGUGUGCAUGUGUCGUCAGCUCGGUCCUGAAUGUAAGCUAGUCUGCACGACCCACAUAACUAGUUGCAGCAUUAGAUGUACCCUAGUGAACUGCGUUAAUCGGACAGUAGAUCCAGCUCAAUCCAUGCCGUAUGUCUGGGCUACACGGUAACUACAUGC